GCUCACUGAAUGGGUUUUGAAUCUUCAUGGGAAACCCUGUUUUCAGAAUUCCAGUUGCCAACUUUCAUUAGACAAAGACUCAUGUAUUAACUGACUCGUUUAAAGCCUUUUUAACCGAACAACGAGAAUUUCUGGAUUAUCAAAUGAUGAAUGAAAAGUUGCAAUUUUGUUCAUCUAUUGUAAACAGGACACCUUCCUUAUGGACUUCCCAACUCAGAUCCUACUUAUUGUAUGCUGGCUGGAGCCGGUUUGCUCUCUGGUUCUGGGGCUUUCCCCCCUGCUCUCUGAAGCUAUUCUCCUUUUGUGAUGUGGCUGCUCACAGGCCUGACUCAAAGGGUUUGGAUUUCCUUCUACAUCUCCUUACACUAGGUAGCUGUGGAAAUUUACAGCUUUCCUGCUCUGGGAGUUUUUCCUUUAAAUUCUAAUAAAAUUGUUUUUGUUA